CUACAGAGCUUGCGCGUCCCAUUUGUCAAUCAUUUUAUGUCGUGUCUGUGAUUGAUUUACAGUGAAAUUAUUAAGUCUCUGAAAUGCAGAUCAAAAUUUCUGGUGUUCUGGAGCGUAUUUGCUCAGUUUGCUCUAGAGAUAAGCCUGUUUCUGAUUAUUGCGACCGGUGCGAAGUACCUGCCCGUUCAAAUAUUGUGAAACUUGCCACGGUCAAGAUCACUCCGAGACUCAAACUCCUCUCAUUCCGGGUAUCAAAGAACUACUUGUACUUUAGCUUUGCAAGACCUGGCACUGAUCUGGUUGAAUUUGCUGAGCUCUACAAUGAAUAUGAGGAAUAGAUAUCUACACCCUCUGGUACUCUUCAAAUGGAAAUUAUCGCAAAACUUAAGAAGACAAAUCACGAAACUAAUGAAAGAUUAACUGAAUAAUCUCGUGAUAGUUCUGUUCAAUAUCUAAUAAUUACAAUAUUUACAGAUUUUAAGGAAGAAUUAGCAGAACUACCGUAAAAGUGUUGAGAAUAGUAAAUCUGUGAACCUACAAUAAAUUUACUAAAUUAGUUUUGCUGGGAAUGCACCUAUAAUAAAACCCGCUUAAACAAGAGGGCAUAAUUCCGUAGCUUUAAACGCUGUACUUAACCACAGGACCGCCGGUUCCCAGUUUUGAAUUCCCGUGCAAUUUUGCUAAGUCCGUCUGCGCGUAAAUUACAUGACACCAAAUUAUUAGACAAAAGCUAUAUAGAGUGGAUUUCUAGCUGCCGCAAUGUGAGUUUGCUUACGAGCAGAACAUGACUGGUCAUUCACAAAUGUGCUCACUUUUAGUCCGUUAUGUGAAUGUUUCUAACACUGAAACACUUCUCUUUUUCCACUGAAAAUGGUGUUGGCGAAUCAAAAACCAUAUUUAAUUUGUUUUGCGUUGAAGUGAAAUGUAGACUUUUUAAAUGUUUAUAUUUUAUAUGUAAGCGAUUAUUAAAGUGCAUUAUUAAAUAUUUUGUUCGUUACAAUAUUCACUGUUUAUUUAGGAUGUCCGCACGGGUCAGUACCACCAUCCUGCCUAUUUCUGCUUUGAAGCAGCAAAGCGGUUCGGUUUGAAGUACUGUAAAAGCUGAGGCCUUGAACUCAUAUCUUGAGAUGGGUGGCGGCAUUUACGUUAUAGAUGCCUAUGGGAUCCAGUAACCAAUUAAAACCCAGGUGGGCUGUGUGCUCGAGCGCACCUAUAACAUAAAAAAGUCUCUAGUACAAUAUAACUAUUUAUUUACUGUUCGUAUUGUUUAAAAGCUACUGCAGCCUAAAAUCCCUAAAAUCGAAGUUGAGAUUGCAUUUCAAUUUUUUAUACAUAGAUUCUAAUUCAAUUAAGUUAAAAAGAUUUAAAUUAAUUUGCCGAUAAAACGAUAAAUAGUCUAUGAUCACAUCAAUAAAAAGUCAUAGCCGUCUCAGUAAAUGUGACAUGUGUUUUGAAAUCACUCAAAACGCACUGAUUACAUUCCGUUUGGUGGCGUGAAACUGUAAAAAUGCCAAAAGCAAAAUUGAAACGUACAAAAAAUGGGUAAAUGUAAAGAGUUUUGUUUGAACGCUCUCUGCUGUCGAUGUUGCAAAUGCUGCUUUCUCUGUGACUGCGUCAGACAGUGCUGGAGGAAGUGCACUCGAUGUUGCAGAAAAGGAGAUAGUGGCAGAAGAACGGUAGAGCAAGUAGAAUACAUUCGAGUGAAGAAGAGAUACCGAAGGGGAGUUAAAGAUGAAUCUAACGAAAACGAUGUGACAAAUUCUGUGUGAACGAAUAAAAUUUAUAAAAUUUGUGA